rnacentral:rRNA from 1 species
GACCCCGGUCAUGGAUGGGCAUGCGGCGCAUUAGGUAGUUGGUGGGGCAACGGCCCACCAAGCCGACGAUGCGUAGGGGUUCUGAGAGGAAGGUCCCCCACAUUGGAACUGAGACACGGUCCAAACUCCUACGGGAGGCAGCAGUGAGGAAUAUUGGUCAAUGGCCGGAAGGCUGAACCAGCCAAGUCGCGUGAGGGAAUAAGGCCCUACGGGUCGUAAACCUCUUUUGCCAGGGAGCAAUGCCGUCCACGUGUGGACGGAAGGAGAGUACCUGGAGAAAAAGCAUCGGCUAACUCCGUGCCAGCAGCCGCGGUAAUACGGAGGAUGCGAGCGUUAUCCGGAUUUAUUGGGUUUAAAGGGUGCGUAGGCGGCCUGCCAAGUCAGCGGUAAAAUUGCGGGGCUCAACCCCGUACAGCCGUUGAAACUGCCGGGCUCGAGUGGGCGAGAAGUAUGCGGAAUGCGUGGUGUAGCGGUGAAAUGCAUAGAUAUCACGCAGAACCCCGAUUGCGAAGGCAGCAUACCGGCGCCCGACUGACGCUGAGGCACGAAAGUGCGGGGAUCAAACAGGAUUAGAUACCCUGGUAGUCCGCACAGUAAACGAUGAAUGCUAGCUGUCCGGGGGGAUUGACCCCUGG